rnacentral:rRNA from 1 species
UACGAAGGGGGCUAGCGUUGCUCGGAAUGACUGGGCGUAAAGGGCGCGUAGGCGGUUCGUACAGUCAGACGUGAAAUUCCCGGGCUCAACCUGGGGGCUGCGUUUGAUACGUACGGGCUUGAGUUCGGAAGAGGGUCGUGGAAGUUCCCAGUGUAGAGGUGAAAUUCGUAGAUAUUGGGAAGAACACCGGUAGGCGAAGGCGGCGGACC